CCGUGUUCAUGCACAUUGCAUUGCGUCCACAGUCUGGCGGCCUCGGCCACAGACACUCGUUAAUAUCUUCCCAGGUCUCCGUUGUGUCGGUGAAGAAGCGAUACUUUCUUGGCCGGUACCCAUCCAGGCAGGUGCAGUGGGUGUUGUUCACACACUUGGCGUUUGGUGGGCAGGACAUAUGGUUGUUGCAGUCCUCAGUGGUACCUGCAGGGGCGGGAACAGCUGGGCAGGGUCAGCCAGUGCAGAGCGGCCCC